UAGGUGACCAGGUUGCUUUUGCGAUGAAAA
rnacentral:piRNA from 1 species